CCCCAGCCACGUGGCUUGGAUCUUCACCCUCCCAAGCCCAGUGCGGGUGUGGCGCUUUGGAAGUUCGGAAGGGAUCCUGGUGCCGGUGAGUUUGGCUCAAGGGAAGAAAAGGAAAAAAAGAUACAGAAAAAGAAGCAAAAACAAAAGGAUUGGAGGGGAAGAUGCCAUUGCCCUGUGCCUACCAAUGUUUUUGUCCAAACAAAAAAGGCAGGACCUAGUGACAGCCCAGAUACUCCUAAAGACGAAAGAUGAAACUGAGAAAGAUGCUGGUGAUACAGGAAUGAACAUAAGAGACAAAAAUCCCUGCCCUAAUGGAGCUUACAUUCUAGUGAGUAUAACGAUUUGCUCAAUGUCAGGCUAGUUAGCAGCAGAAAGCUGGAUUAGAUCUUCUGAAUCUCAGUCUUGUGAUCAUUCCUUUAUACCCCAGUUUAGGAAAACACAAAGUCUAAUCUUAUUUUACAAACAGAACAAUGGUUUAGCUACACAUAUAUUUUCAUGCACAUAUUCUCAUAUUUAAAAACUUCAUUAAAAUCACAAAAAUUGUAUAGAGGUGCAAAUGUAUACAAUUAUCUAUCUCUGUACAUAUAUUGCAAGUAUAGCAUACGUAUAUGUUACAUAUAUGUAAUUUAAAAAUAUCAAUAUAAUACAUUAAACCACUAAAUAAUAUCACCAUUAUUUACCAAUUAUUUGUAUCCACUGAGGAAUCAUUAACCUAGGUAAGAUAUGAAGUCUCCUAUCAAAUUAUGACAUGAAACCUUUGACUUGAAACUGCUAUCCCAAGUAUCAUACAAAGAACAAAUGGAAUAGAAAACUAGACUAUUUUAAUACUCUAUAUUCACAAACCAAUGUAAAAUUAGUAAAAUCCCUAUCAUUUGGGAGCAUUUUCUCUUGCUUUGAAGAAGAAACUUCCUCUCAUAGAAUGUUGUGGAAUGUGCCAUAUUUACAUAUUCAUUUCUCUUUUCAUAUUAAGAGAUGUAUGCUAUAUUUAGAAACACCCCACUGACUUAUUAAUUCAUUCUGUAAAUACUCAUUAUGCAAUAUCUAUAAUAGGCAUUUUUCUAGGUGUUACAGCUAUAACAGUAACAAGACAGGAUAGUGCUUAUAAUAAACUAAUAUAAAUAAGUUAUGAUAAUUUUAGAAUUGGUAAUAAUCAUGAAAAAAAAUAAAGCAGAAGAAACUGUCCCAGUAGAUGCAUUACUUUUGAUCAGCUGGGCAGAGAAGCCCACUUCUGAGAAUGUAAAAUAGAAGCCAGCCAUGCAAAGAUCUAAAGGAAGUGUUAUCCAGGGAGAAGGAAUAGGUGCAAGACUCUGAAGAGUGAUCUUCCUCAGCUUGUAUGUGGAAGCUAUAGAAAACUGAAGUAAGAUGGACAAGGAGAAGAUGGAGUGGAAGAGGCUGAAGGAGCUGGUGGGGCACAACCUACUGGAAAAUAGCCUGGAAUUUGUGCUGAGUGUGGUGGGGAGUCAUAGGGCAGGGCCAUGAUCUGAUUUCCAUUUUCAAUGGAUCAUUCUAGCUGUUGUGUGAACAAUGAAUUGUAGGAACUAGACGUGGAAGCAGAGGAGGAUGGGAAAGCUACUUUCUUACCUGAGAAGAGAUGAAUAGUGGCUUCGGUUAGGGAGCAGCAGUGGAGAUAUGGGAAGACGGUAGGCUUUGAUUAUAUUGUGAAGUGGAAUGGACAGCACUUGCUCUAGAUGUAUAAAUGGUUCAGAAAAAAAUCAAUAAUUUCUAGGUUUUUAUAAAAGGAUAACUGGUUGAACAGUAGUGUCAUUUACUGCAAGGAGGGGGAAUUCAUUAUGAGUGGUGGAAAUUAUGAGUUGUCUUUUGGAUGUUCGAGGGGCUUUCUAAAUAGCCAUGUGGAGAGUAAAGUAGGAAGUGCAUGUAUGAAUCAGGACCACGAGGGAUAGGUCAGGGUUGGAAAAAGGUAGGUUGGUAGUUAGAUAGGAUAUGUUGGCAUACAGAUGGAAUUAAAAUCUAUAGUACUAAAUGUAAUAGGGAGGAAGUAUAGAUAGAGAUAAAAAGAGUAAACAGAAUGGAGUCUACGGUAUCUUCCAUAUUUAGAGGUCCAGAAGAAAAUCAAGACUAUUGAGCCUAUGAAGGAAGACCUUUUAAGGCAUGAGGAAAAAUAGACAAGUGUCAUGGUGCAGAAAUCAGAAGAAUAAAGUGUUAGAACUAAAAAUAAAUGUUGUUUACUACUUAGAGUUUUAGUAAGAAACAGACACAGAGGUGAUGAUAGAGCUUGGCUCCAUGGAGAUCACUGAUUUCAAAAGGAGAAGAUUUGGUGAAUCUUCUGAAAGGACUGAAAGGAAUGGCCAGUCAGAAGAGAGAAUGAGAGGUGGUAUUUGGAGAGUCACACAGGAUAUGGGAAGGUUAUCUAUUUUUUUUAAGAUAUGUGACAUUAGAGCCUGUUUCUGUGCAGCUGGGAAUGAUUACAUGAGCAAGACAAAACAUUUAUAGGUCUAAUAUUAUUGGCUGGAAAGGUGGAUCAACACAGAUAAUGUCUGAUAAAUCAUCUUUCAAUCAAAGUAUUCUCUAGUGCCAAAUGAAUAGUCCAUUUUCAUCAAUUAAUUUGAAAAAUCGGUAACAGAAUAUCACUUAAACAGUUCGAUCCAAAAGAUAUAUGCAGUGAUGUCCUAUUACCUCACAAACAAAAACUACAGAGUAGUUUUGGUUAUCCUGAAAGUGAAACUGAGAUCAGUGAUAAAAACUAUUUUUUAUAUGUAUAGUGACAAAAUUUAGUUAUGUUUUUAAAAAGAAAAGUUGUUGUAGUUAAUGUUUUGAUCAUUUAUUCCCUUGUUUACUUAUUCAUCAAACUAUUCUCUGAGUGCUUUGGGUCCAGUACUGCAUAUGUAAGAGUGGACAGGAAACAGGUACUGUCCCCAACCAUGUCAUUGUCUAGUAGGAGAGACUGACAAACAGAAGUUUACUUGUGAUUCAGUGUAAGUACUGUAUAGGCACAGAGGUCUUAUUUUAUAUUUAUUUAGCUUUAGGUAUUCAUCUUAUGUCUUAUAAUUUGGAGAGAGGAAGAGAAAGGGAAGAGAAGGAACAAUUUAAACAGUGAGUGUGAGUCUGCUGCUUGCUGUGCUAAUAACUAAAUGAGCAUGUAACCUGGUGAGAAAUGCAAAUCUUCUCUUCCUGUACUUUGUUUCAGUUCCUGAAGAUAAUUCCGCUGUUUAUGAUCAUCUCUAAAAUAGGCUUCCUAAAACACAACAACAAAAAAAAACAAAACCAAAAAAACCCAAACCAACCACUUUAUCUGGUGUUCAAAUGACGCAGCAGCAAAUACAGUCAACUGACAGUAUUCGAUACCCUGAGAGACCACAUUGGUAUCCAAAGGAUUUUAAAGGCAAAUUUUAACUCCAGAUGGUGAAGGGGGAAGGGUUGUAUUUUAGGCCAAAAAGGCGGCAUAUUCAAAGGUUCUGACAUGGUAAAGAAGGUAGCCCCUUGAGAAAACUGCAUUUCCAGAAUGACCAGCAUUCAAUGAAUGGUGAGUAAAGCUAGUGAGAGUGGGAGCAAGAGAGUUGGUAGGGUGGCCUUACACAGGACCUUUUAUCUAAUGCUCUCAAGGUCUGCCAUUACAUAUCAUUUGGGGUGGCUGUUGUGAUUUACUAAUGUGGUUUGUAAUGAUCUCAAGGUCUUGGUCUUCCCAGUACCAAUAUUAUCCACAUAAAGCUGUAAUUUGCAUUAUAUAAGAUACAGUGAUAUUGUCAAAGGUCUUCAACAGUCACUCUUUAAAAGAAAAUAUCCAGAAGUUCUCCUUUGUUGAUAUCAGAUGCUUCACAGUGUUGUCAUAACCAUGUAGAAAUUUUUAUUAGGUAGUCUGUUCUAAUAGGCCACAGUUUUUCUUUCCUAGUUUUUAAACAAAAAUACUGCUUUUGUGUUAUGCCGAAGUUUUUAAAUAUAUUUUAUCCCAAGUCAGAUGAGUACAACUUGUAAAAAUUUCCUAUAUCUGAAGAUUACUUUUAGAAAAUUGCAUGAAGGGUCUUUGACUUUAUGGUUUCCCUCAUUUAUUAUUCUCCAUGUUAGUGCCUACAAGCCAUAAAUUUCCCUUUCCUCUUCCCAUUUUCAAGAGAGAUUUAUAAUGAAAGAAAUAUAGCGGUCAAGAAAAUAAAAACAGAAUCAAGAAUAUCUUUGUGAGAUGGAUGGAAUAAAUUCCCUUGAUGAUA